AGUUUUAUAGUUUAAUAAAAAACAUUAAUUUUGUAAAUUAAAAAUAUACCUACCUAUUAAAACUU
rnacentral:tRNA from 2 species